rnacentral:rRNA from 1 species
UGGGGAAUCUUGCGCAAUGGGCGAAAGCCUGACGCAGCCAUGCCGCGUGAAUGAUGAAGGUCUUAGGAUUGUAAAAUUCUUUCACCGGGGACGAUAAUGACGGUACCCGGAGAAGAAGCCCCGGCUAACUUCGUGCCAGCAGCCGCGGUAAUACGAAGGGGGCUAGCGUUGCUCGGAAUUACUGGGCGUAAAGGGAGCGUAGGCGGACAUUUAAGUCAGGGGUGAAAUCCCGGGGCUCAACCUCGGAAUUGCCUUUGAUACUGGGUGUCUUGAGUGUGAGAGAGGUAUGUGGAACUCCGAGUGUAGAGGUGAAAUUCGUAGAUAUUCGGAAGAACACCAGUGGCGAAGGCGACAUACUGGCUCAUUACUGACGCUGAGGCUCGAAAGCGUGGGGAGCAAACAGGAUUAGAUACCCUGGUAGUCCACGCCGUAAACGAUGAUUGCUAGUUGUCGGGAUGCAUGCAUUUCGGUGACGCAGCUAACGCAUUAAGCAAUCCGCCUGGGGAGUACGGUCGCAAGAUUAAACUCAAAGGAAUUGACGGGGUCAUAGCUGUUUCCUG